rnacentral:rRNA from 1 species
AUGGAUUUUCCCUCUUUUGAUGGGGAAAACCCACAAUUCUGGAAGACUAGAUGUGAAAAGUACUUUGAUGUCUAUGGGGUUGUUCCAGAGCUUUGGGUUCGUGUAGCUACCCUCAAUUUUACGGGCAACGCGGCCAGAUGGCUGCAACUGCAUGAAAUACAGAGCGCCUUGUUCACUUGGGAAUCCCUGUGCACAGCUCUGUGUGCCAAGUUUGGCCGCGAGCAAUAUCAAGCUCAUCUUCGGCAGUUUAACACCCUGCGUCAGUCAGGCUCGGUAGGGGAGUACAUGACUAAGUUUGAGGAGUUGAUGCACCAUAUCUUAGCUCAUAACCCUGCU